CCUACGGGAGGCAGCAGUAGGGAAUCUUCCACAAUGGGCGAAAGCCUGAUGGAGCAACGCCGCGUGGGUGAAGAAGGUCUUCGGAUCGUAAAACCCUGUUUUUAGAGAAGAAAGUGCGUGAGAGUAACUGUUCACGUUUCGACGUUAUCGAACCACAACGCCACGGCUAACUCCGUGCCAGCAGCUGCGGUAAUACGUAGGUGGCAAGCGUUAUCCGGAUUUAUUGGGCGUAAAGGGAACGCAGGCGGUCUUUUAAGUCUGAUGUGAAAGCCUUCGGCUUAACCGGAGUAGUGCAUUGGAAACUGGGAGACUUGAGUGCAGAAGAGGAGAGUGGAAAUCGAUGUGUAGCGGUGAAAUGCGUAGAUAUCUGGAAGAACACCAGUGGCGAAGGCGGCUCUCUGGUCUGUCACUGACGCUGAGGUUCGAAAGCGUGGGUAGCAAACAGGAUUAGAUACCCUUGUAGUC
rnacentral:rRNA from 1 species